GACAGAGGGUGCAAACGUUGUUCGGAAUUACUGGGCGUGAAGCGCGUGUAGGCGGCUGCGCAAGUCGGGUGUGAAAGCCCUGGGCUCAACCCAGGAAGUGCACUCGAAACUGCGUAGCUGGAGUCUCGGAGAGGGAGGCGGAAUUCUGGGUGUAGAGGUGAAAUUCGUAGAUAUGGGGAGGAACACCGGUGGCGAAGGCGGCUACCUGGACGGAUACUGACGCUGAGACGCGAAAGCGUGGGUAGCAAACAGG
rnacentral:rRNA from 1 species